rnacentral:rRNA from 1 species
CACGUAGGGCGCAAGCGUUGUCCGGAAUUACUGGGCGUAAAGGGCGCGUAGGCGGCCUGCUAAGUCGGAUGUGAAAACUCUGGGCUCAACCCAGAGCCUGCAUUCGAUACUGACGGGCUAGAGUACUGGAGGGGAAAGCGGAAUUCCUGGUGUAGCGGUGAAAUGCGUAGAUAUCAGGAGGAACACCGGUGGCGAAGGCGGCUUUCUGGACAGUAACUGACGCUGAGGCGCGAAAGCUAGGGGAGCAAACAGG